CCACCCGGCCGGCACCGGCCCCGGCUCCAGCGCCGACACCACCGCCGGGCAGGGCGGCCCGCGCCGCCUCUCCCGCGGCAGCGGCUGGAGUUGGAGUUGUCGAAGUUGGUGGUGACCGCGAUGAGCGCGGCUCCUCUCCGCUCCCCCGCCCCGCGGGGCCACUGACGGCUCCUGCCCCCGCCUCGCAGGCUGCUGGGUUUGGUCUCGAGUGGGUUUUUUUUUUGUGUGUGUGUGUGUGUGUUUUUUUCUUUUUGGUAUUGUUUUUCUUCUCCGUCUCGCUCUCGCUCCAGCCAAGGUGAAUGGCCCGCGGUGGGUGUAGCUGGCCUCAGCGGCUCCGCAAGGGGAAAAUGCUGGCCGUGGGGGUGCUGGCCGGCCUCUCGGUGCUCAGCCUCCUCACCUACGGCUACCUGUCCUGGGACAGCCUCGGACGCGGCCCCGGAGAGGCGCCGGCGGCGCUGGGAUUGGAGCCGGGGCCCGACGCCCCCAGCUCGCAGCCGCACAUCGUCUUCAUCCUGGCUGACGAUCAGGGCUUCAGAGACGUAGGGUACCACGGCUCGGAGAUCAGGACGCCCACUCUGGACAAGCUAGCCGCUGAAGGGGUUAAACUGGAGAACUAUUAUGUUCAGCCUAUGUGCACACCAUCCAGAAGCCAAUUUAUCACUGGAAAGUACCAGAUACACACCGGCCUUCAGCACUCCAUUAUACGGCCAACGCAGCCCAACUGCCUACCUCUGGAUAACGUCACACUACCUCAGAAGCUGAAGGAGGUUGGUUAUUCAACACACAUGGUUGGCAAAUGGCACUUGGGGUUUUAUCGCAGAGAAUGCAUGCCCACACAGAGAGGAUUUGACACUUUCUUUGGCUCACUCUUAGGCAGCGGCGACUAUUACACUCACUUCAAAUGUGACAGCCCUGGAAUAUGUGGCUAUGACCUGUACGAGAAUGAUAAUGCAGCUUGGGAUCAUGACAAUGGCAUCUACUCAACACAGAUGUACACGCAAAAAGUACAACAAAUCUUAGCUUCUCACAAUCCCAGGAAACCUAUAUUCUUAUAUAUUGCUUACCAAGCUGUUCAUUCGCCUCUUCAGGCACCAGGCAAGUAUUUUGAACAUUAUCGAUCCAUAAAUAACAUAAACAGGCGACGAUAUGCUGCGAUGCUAGCUUGUUUGGAUGAAGCCAUAAACAAUGUAACCCUUGCUUUAAAGAAAUAUGGUUACUAUGACAAUAGCAUUAUCAUAUAUUCUUCAGAUAAUGGUGGGCAGCCAAUGGCUGGAGGAAGUAACUGGCCUCUCCGAGGGAGCAAAGGGACAUACUGGGAAGGAGGUAUCCGUGCUGUUGGGUUUGUCCAUAGUCCCCUUCUGAAAAACAAAGGGUCUGUGUGUAAGGAGCUUGUGCACAUCACAGACUGGUUUCCCACUUUGAUCACACUGGCCGAAGGACAGAUUGACGAAGAUAUCCAGCUAGAUGGGUAUGAUAUAUGGGAAACCAUUAGCGAAGGCAGACGUUCUCCACGGGUAGACAUCUUACACAACAUUGACCCAAUUUACACUAAAGCCAAAAAUGGGUCUUGGGCAGCUGGAUAUGGAAUCUGGAACACUGCAAUUCAAUCUGCCAUCAGAGUGAAUCAUUGGAAACUACUGACAGGAAAUCCGGGAUAUAGCGACUGGGUUCCUCCACAGGCCUUCAGUAACAUGGGCCCCAACCGCUGGCAUAAUGAACGUGUUUCUUGGUCAGCUGGCAAAACCGUGUGGCUUUUCAACAUAACCGCUGAUCCAUAUGAACGGGUGGACCUCUCUGCAAAAUAUCCUGAUGUAGUGAAACAGCUGUUGAGGAGGCUUUCACAGUUCAAUAAGACUGCGGUUCCUGUUCGGUACCCGCCUAAGGACCCACGGAGUAACCCAAAGCUGAAUGGAGGAGUCUGGGGUCCGUGGUUUAAGGAGGAUGAAAAGAAGAAGAAGUCAGAUAAAAGUAAAGGUGCUAAUAAGCAAAAGAAGAACAAGAACAAGAAAAAAGCAAAUCGGAAAAAAGGGCCAUCAUUACAUUGCCGAUCACGUCUUGCUGGUGGAUAGACUUUGAGCAUGCUAGUUUUUGCCAAGUCUAAGCCAGCUUGGCCCAAAUUCCUUGAACUUCUGAGACAAUAUACCAGAAACGCCUGCUCUGCACUAUGGAGGAAAGCUGUCAUCUUUUAAUUUGUUCUCAAAUUUUGCUAGGAUGAGCUAUCUUGACACUCUGCCUCGAAUGUACAUAAACAUCCACAUGACAGACUUUCUCCUCUACAGAAAGAGAGGUGCUCUCCCAUCACAGCUACAUUCCAGAUAAGAAUACAAUUACUAGUAACUUCAGAAAGCCCAUUUUUGAUGGACAGAUGAUUGUUCCUUGCCUGAAUUAGUUAGAAUUUUUUGAGAGUCUGGAGAGGCAGAUGAUUCAUAGAGAGAAAGGAAAAACAAAGCUUGAGAACUUCUGUAGGUCUGAGAGUGCUAGCCACCAGCCUGUGAUGUUUUUUGAUAAAACACAGCAAAAAUUGAAGCCAACUUUUUUGGGGUGUUGGGGAGAGGAACACAAUAGGAGGAAAGCUGCUUUGAAUUAGACUGUGUCUCUUUUAGAUAAACAAGAAAUACUUUUUAAAUUCCCUAAAUGUGCUAAACUUUCCUCAAUUGUUGUAAAACCAGAGGGCUGUUAUCAGCACACACGAUUAACUCGCACAUGCCAUGUAUAAUUUAUUAUAGGCAUAGACAAAAGCACAUCACCAAAGUGAAUGUAAUAUUUAAACACUUUAAGAUACCUAUACUACAGUACAUGCAAGACAUAAUUUAUUUUACAGCACAAUACUUUUUUCUCUUCCAUUAAAACUUUAAUUAGUGGGUGAUAUAAGGUUGUUUAUUUUUUUCCUUUGAUUUUUAAUUUUAUUUUCACUCAGUCAUUCAGAGUUUUAUUCAACAGAUCCACAUCCUCAGAGUACUGUAAAACAAGAAAAUACUGUAGACACUGCUAGGAUGAGAGAGGAGAAUGAUUCAGUUUCACAUAAAGUUGGAGAGAAAGAGACUAUCCUGGCUACAAGUAAAGACUAGUGGAAGGAAGUACCAUGAACGGUAAGUAAAUCUAAAAUGGCAGUCUUUUUGUAUGGAUCUUGUAGGAGGUGAGGGACGGUCCAUGAGGUUGUGAAGCUCAGGAAAGGAAGAUGAGUUAUCGUAACUAAUGGAGUCAUUAGUGUCUGAAGCCAUCCAGUAGGUUUCUGUAUCUGCUGGGACAUGUGGCUGGUAUGGAAAGUGAAUUAGGCCAUUAAACCCAGCAACUUUCUGUCUCUCUCCUUGGAAGUAAUGAAUGCUGAUUGGAUUUCAAGCUGAUGAAAGACCACUCAUGCUUCCAUCUAUACAGGAUUGUACAUAAUGGGUUAUCUGAGGUAUUGUCUAGACAACAUUGAAACUUAGGUUUUUGUGCUCUUGCUGCAAAGAAUUAACUUCUUUCUUUUUCUUUCACUGCUCUGCAUAUUCAGCAGUGUGCUCUCAAUGCUUUUACACAGCCAUCCACAGUUUCAAAGUUGCCUUUUACUCAUACAAAUAACAUUAGCUUUUUGCAUCACAAAGUGAGACAGCAGUGAAAGUUAGAACAUAUGAUGUCAGACACUGGGCAGCUGCAUUUGGAACUAGGAACUGAUGCACUAUUACAUUUUAUUUUAAUUGAAGUAGCAUCAGAUUUGGUUGAUGGCAAAGAGUAGCUUCCAGAAUGCAAUUAGACCAAAGACAUGGGUAUGUCUGAAUUCUUGAACUAUAAUGAGAUACUGAAUUCCUUCCAGUGGCAUUCUUGAGUGUAAAUGGGGAUGCUGGAUCUACCAACUUCCACCACUAAUGUCACUGAGAGUUGGUCAUUCUCUGAAUAAGGAAAAAUAAUAAUAAUGUAUAGUAUGCUCUGUAGGUUUUGGGUUUUUUUUUCAGAUAUUGAGAUCUGUGAGCAAAGAACUAUAUCUCUGCUGACUACUGUUGUGCAUUAUAUCUGAGUUCUGAAAAAAAUGGUUCAUCUUUUUUAGUAUAUAACAUUCACAGGCUGACUACAGGCUCCCUUGGUCAUCUUGCUUUAAAUCGUGAAUAUUCACCCACAAAGUAAAUAAAAUAUAGUUUACUUCAUGUUUCGUGUAUCAUAAACUGUACUAUCGGUGUGAAGUCCACUUUUCCAAAAUAUAGCAUUAGCUCAGAGAAAUACACAGAAAUUCACCUGUUGACUACCACCUUAUUGAACUGUAUUCUUAGGACAACAAUAGCUUUGCUUUUUUAGCUCUCAAUUGCUUGUUUUCUGGUUUCCAAGAAAAGGCAGAGAAUACACAUUCGAACAAAAAAAAGAGCAUAAGAUUUAACUUAGCAGGUGGCCAGAGAAGGAGGGAAAGCAUGGCCCUGUGAGAAAAGAAAAGAGUACUAAGCUGUGACUGGUGUUGUACACGGAAUGAAAAAUUUGCAAGUUGCUUAA